rnacentral:lncRNA from 1 species
GUUGGUUGAACCAAAUAGUUGAUUACAAACGUCAAACACCUCAUGCCACACCCCCAAUGCCACCACCAACACCAAUACUUGGUCACAAAUCAACCAAACUUCAACCUAUCCCACACCAACCGAACACUAUGUCACCUCGCCACCAACACCUACUGCCAAUAGCACAACUUCCAUUUUUUGACCUUCACCAUCAUUAGCACCACACCACCACAACUACAACCACUGUCGCCAUCUUCGCAUUGAAACCACCAGCUUACCACCAACACCUCAAAAACCACCACUCAAAUUGCCACACACAGCUACGAAUUGAGCUGUGUUGCCAUCAACCCUCACAGAGUUGAUGGCGUCAACGUCGGUUAAGAAGAAAAAAUGCCCGACUGAGCCUAUACAUGUGACCUAAAAGGAAUACCACAACUAGCAACGCAGCUAAUUCUAGGUCUCGGAACAACAUUAGCACUAGUAGCUUUACCACAUGACUCAUUCAACAACGAUGGACCCUCAAUGGUAAGUGAAAUCACCUCCUCAUCGUGGAGGAGUACAAAGCCAGCACGUUAAGCUUGAUUCAAGACAUUGCAACAGCUUGGAAACUGAAGACCUCUUUUCAACAGAAACAACUUCCAAUUACAGGAGAAAAAGGAUACUCGAGGAAGUUGUUGUUGAAGCCUCUAAUGCAGAAAUUCCUUAUUUCCAGUAUUUGAUUGAGUCAAUAAGUUAGUUCUAAAAAUCAAGUCUUUGCUGUUAAUAAUGGGUCCUUAUUUUUCUUUUGUAGCUUGGUUUUUGCUUGUUUAUUGGAAUUCUAUUUACUAGCUGUGUAAUUAAAGUUUUCCCUGUUUUAAAUAAAUACCUACGAAGUUUUUGCUCGUAUGCCUCUCUUUUGUGCUUUGUGUUUUACUUGUCUCUAUUUACCAUUUCUUCCUAACGAUUGCAAGAGAAGUUUUAGUGGUGUUCUAUU